UUGUGGAGGAGGACGCCGAAGGUGGGGCUAAUGACUGGGGUGAAGUCGUAACAAGGUAGCCGUACCGGAAGGUGCGGCUGGAUCACCUCCUAACAGGGAGACAACAAAAUGUAAAUAUUAAUUUUGUCACCUUAGGUCGAUCGGUAUCUCAGAUUCUUAUUUUAAGAAUUUCAGUUUCUAAGUUUUUUCUAGGUCACACCCAUCACUUUUUCCUGGGCCAUUAGCUCAGGUGGUUAGAGCGCACCCCUGAUAAGGGUGAGGUCCCUGGUUCAAGUCCAGGAUGGCCCAUAUCUCUAUGUUGGGGGUAUAGCUCAGUUGGUAGAGCGCCUGCUUUGCAAGCAAGAUGUCAGCGGUUCGAGUCCGCUUACCUCCACUGAAUACCACCUCUUACAUAUAUUUAAAGUGGGAAAUAGUUUUGAUUUGUGUCCUAAUUUGCUCUGAGCGAAUCUAGCUUCCUAUUUAUUCGAUAAAUAAGAUGCUGGACUCAUUGAAUUUUUAUUCCUUGUUUUCAGAGAACCUUGACAACUGCAUAGAUUAUUUUUUAAAGACAAUAAGCAUCUUUAAUGAUGCAGAUUUAUUAUUUGUGCGAAUGCAUUAAAUAACAAUUCUAUUAAGCUGAUGCUUCAAUUAUGAAGUUAUUGGUCAAGCUACAA
rnacentral:misc_RNA from 1 species